CAAAGAUUGAGCAUAUAUUUUUUUUAAAUAGUAGCCAACUUAGAAUAUUUCAAGAAAUUUCGCUUAAAAGUAUCAUAUUGGUGUAAAUAUAAAGACUAUCUAAUUAUAUAUGUAAUUAUACUGCUGAUUUUAUUUUAUAUAUUUAAAUUAGGAACUAAAUGGAGUGAAAUGGAGGGUUGAUCGCUAUGGUAACCCCGUAUGUUAUCAUCUCUCACGAGGAUCAGAUGCUCAUGUUUAUUAGUAUGAUC
rnacentral:lncRNA from 1 species